UAGCUCUUCUGUGUUGUGUCAUCCGCUUCACCAGAGGUUGUUUGGUUUCCCCGAUGUAUAAAUUCUGACAAUCCUCCUGGCACUGGUACAUCUUUCACCAUCUGAGUUAUGCAUUGCGAAAAGCAAAUGAAAGGUAAACCUAGCACAUUACUAAAAACCAUAGUAACUACAAUUAAUUUUGUAUCGGUAAUGAACUUUUUCCCACAUAACUUAUAACCCUUUUUGAAAUUGUAGGUCAUUUGUCCAAUAUGUACUAAGGACCUUCCAGAAGAUGAGAUCACAGUCCACGCGAGUCUGUGUGGGGAUAGGUAAUCUUUUUUCAGCCGUUUAUGAAAAAAUGUUAAUCAGUAACAGUCCACGUAAACAUAUGCAGUUUUUUUUUAACUUAGUUUGGUCAACAGCUUUCAAUGCAUGGUGCCUGAAGCAAAUGACACAACAGACAGGUACUUUUUGCUGUAUUAUAGUUCAUACACAUUAUUAUGCAGAACCAUUUGUUAAAAUUAUGUGUAAGAUCUUUUACACAAUAACUGGGGUUUAAUCUCAUAUAAAACAUUUUAUGAUCACACUACUUUAAAUUAUUGUUAAAGGUUGUUGCACAGAACACACUGCAAUAAUUUCUAAUCACGUUUAAUGUUGUUGCCCUUUUUAAUGAGAACAUGAUUGUUUGUCUUUGAGAAUUUAGGAUGUCUUCACUUUUUGUUAAGCAUGGAAGAUGUAUUGCGUUUCCUUAAACAACAAGUCGACACCACAACAGAAUUUAACUUGUGUGUGGACAGAGAAGACCUUACAGACAGAGGCAUUCUCCAGUGGCAGAGAAAAAAAGCUGCAUCUCCUACCAGCGUUCUUAGGGUGGUUUUCAUUGGAGAGGCAGGCGUGGAUACAGGAGCAAUUAAGAAAGAGUUUUUGAGUGAUUCUUUGAAGGACCCGAGAACAAUGUCAAAAACCCCAAGUAUUCUCUGACCGAUCUUGAUAAUGAAAACUUCAGAACUGUUGGUGAAAUAAUUGCAGCCUCGCCCAAAGAGGCCCAUCUCCUCCCUUUUUCAAAAAAUGGUGCUACAAUUUCCUCUGCCCAGGAGAGGUGGAUUUCAGCUGUCUAAGGAGGAUGUUGCAGAUGUGGAAUCUUCCCUGUGUGCUGUUGUCUUACACUCUACAACUAGACUGAUUUCAAUGCUACAUCAGCUCAGAAAGGGCAUGGAACUGUAUGGUCUUGUGAACCUGAUGGCUGUAAAUCCUGAAGCUUGCCACAGUUUGUUUGUUCCUGGGAAAAUCCUCAAACCAGACACUGAUUUCAUUAUGAUGAGCUGCCAACCACAUUUCAGUGAAAAGGGGACAUCUAGGGAGAGAACUGAGAGGAAGAUCGUACAUUUUUUGAAAGAUUUCUUGCAGGAUAUUGAAGCAUCAGAAACGACUUCAUAAACAUUUUCAAACAUCACAGAUGGAAACACAGGCGGUGCAGGUGGUGAAAAAUCAGAGUCUCUUGCUGUCCAGCAUGUGCUUCAGUGGAUGACCGGCCAACCCCAUGUUCCCAUCCUUCCUGAUGAAAAGAGACAUUUCAAAAUAACAUGCAAGUUUGACCAUGAAUGUAAGGAGCAGCUAGGAGAUCACUCCAUUUUUUACCCAGUUGUAAGUGCAUGCAUUUGUACCGUGACUUUUCCACUUCAGCAUCUGAACACUUACACAGAGUUUAAAACAGUAAUGAGUGAAGCAGUUAGAUAUGGUGGUGGAUUCCACAGAGUUUAACACAUGGUUGUCUUGUAAUUUGGAAACUAAAUGAGUAAAAAUGUUUCUAAACAUUAGCUGUUAAGAUUUUCGUAGCUGUUUCAUGAAAAUUACAAGAGUUCAGAACUGUCAGUUUUACAAAGAUAAUCAUUUAACUUUAUCCAGAAAUAUAUGCAAGAUGUCCUCCAUAUAGGAUUCCCUGCAUGCAUUCAUUCUGAAAAGCUGAGUUUAGUUUUUCCCACUUUGCUGAAAUGCUGUAAUGUGAACACUGUAUCCAAGCUGCUUGAGACUUCAAGCUUAAACUAAGGUGAUCCAAUCCAGCAGUGCCCCAUAAGUCCCACCUUCCUGAAGAUUACAAUAUUUAUUUUUCUUUCUUUUGGGGUCAUCCAUUUGACAGUUAAUUCAAAUUAAAUUAGUAAUUUUUUGCAGUAUUGCUGGAUUCAAUUACAUUAAUUUUAGCUACAGGAACCCAAAAAAUGGAAGCUGAUUGCCAUGUGAAACUAAAGUACAAAUCAUAUGAACACUCCAUUGUUUAGGUAUUGUGAGAUUAUUAUACUAUCUUAUGCCACGUUAUACCUCUAAUUAAAGAUUGUGAAAUUAUAGUUUUAGUUUGCAUUAUUCUCCUGACUUAGAAGACGGUGAUAACUAUUACAUUUAUUAAACUGAUUUGUAUUACAUUACACUGCUGAUUUAUUGUGAAUGAAUGAUAUUGUUUUAUGAUGUAUGAUACUGCUGCGUUAUAAGAAAUACUAUUUUCAGAGAAUCAUGGCCUUAUUUGUCUGAUUAGAAAAGAACAGAACAUACUGCACAGGAAGCCAAGGUCAUAACAUAGGCUCACUGAGAGAGAGAAAGAAUGUGGAUGUUUAGGUUUUAUAACUUUGGAGGGGGGCUGAAGCUAUAAGAAUGUGAGAAAUGGUCAGACACGUCAAGAUCUGCUGUGACCCUCUUCGGCACAUCUCCCAUCCGGAUGUAUUGCGCUAAAGUGUGUAUGGAAUAAUGAGAAUGGUAUGGAAUAAAGAGAGUGUUGACUGAGCAUUUAUACACUGAGUGUUGUCCUUCCUUCAGCCCAAAGAUGA